CGAAAACCAGACGCAGCGACGCCGCGUGGGCGAAGAAGGCCUUCGGGUUGUAAAGCCCUUUUCUCAGGGGAAGAGGAAGGACGGUAACCUGGGAAUAAGUCCCGGCUAUCUAUGUACCAGCAGGCGCGGUAAGACAUAGGGGACGAGCGUUAUCCGGAUUUACUGGGCGUAAAGAGCGUUGAGGCGGUUCCGUAAGUUGGAUGUGAAAGCCCCGGGCUUAACUCGGGGAGGUCGUUCAAUACUACGGGGCUAGAGGGCAGCAGAGGGAGGUGGAAUUCCCGGUGUAGUGGUGAAAUGCGUAGAUAUCGGGAGGAACACCCGUGGCGAAGGCGGCCUCCUGGGCUGACCCUGACGCUGAAUGACGAAAGCUAGGGGAACG
rnacentral:rRNA from 1 species